GCCAGUCGCAUCGCCGGGUAGCUAUGUUCGGAAGAGAUAACCGCUGAAAGCAUCUAAGCGGGAAACUCGCCUUAAGAUGAGAUAUCCCUGGAGGCUUGACCUCCUUGAAGGGUCGUUCGAGACCAGGACGUUGAUAGGUCGGGUGUGUAAGCGCAGUAAUGCGUUCAGCUAACCGAUACUAAUUGCCCGUAAGGCUUGAUCCUAUAACA
rnacentral:rRNA from 1 species